UCUUAGGCAAGUUAUCUUAGGUUGAUUCUUCUACAAGUUAUCUAGGAUAUAAAUAUAGGUUGUAAUGCUCUUUUUGAAGGCAAGCAAUAAGAAGAAUAUUAUCUCCUAUUGCCCGGCUCCCUGAGGAGCCGGAACCCUAGCCGCCAACAGCCCUAGCCACCGCCCUUCUCCUAGCCGCGACGGCGCCCUGCCGCCGGGGCGCCCGAUCCUCGCCACGUCUCCCUCCAUCCUUCCCUUACCACCUACGCCUAGACCUGGUAGAGUACUUGAUCCUACCAAACAACAUUGCGUGAUGGAGUCAUCAAUGGCAUCCAGAAGACCAGGGAAGCAUAUGACAAUAUUCCCAUCAUGGUGACUGGACAUUCCAUGGGAGGGACCAUGGCUUCGUUUUGUGUCCUUGAUCUUAUUGUGAGUGCUAAUAUUUGUCUGAAGAAGAUAUGCUUUCAUUUAUUUAGAAGUUUCUCUACUUUUCAUGAAUUCAUCCUCCUGCUAAAUUCUACUACAAGCUAUCCUUUUUUAAUGGAAUAGGGUGCAUUGUUGGGGAUUCCAUUCCUCCUCUGUUCUUAGUUUUAAUCGAUUCUUUCAUGUGUAUAAAAUGCAUUGAAAGAACUUCUAACAUGACUAAAAUCAUACUACAUAAUUACUGCACAGUUCUCAGACUGAACUCUCUUUACAUUUGACAGACUAGUUAUUGCUAAUAUUUUGUUGGGAAUGACAGCAAGUGUGGGCGAAUCAAGAACCUCAGUGAUAGUAUAAUUUGAUUUCUGUGCUGUUCUUCUGAAUACAAAAAUCUUAGACGAGGCAGAUGUAACUAUCUUUGUUCAUGUGUGGACAGUACACCUUCUGUAUAUCUGAACAGUGGCAUCAAGCAUAAGUAGUACUAGCGUCUGUUUUUGUCUAUCCUGAAAAGUACGACAUGCUUCUGAUUUUAGCCACCAUAUUGGGCUCGAUAGCCUAGUAUACCCGAUCGAGCAAAUCUGUGACGAUUCUGGUGAAGACCCCACUUGCAGCAGGUCUGUCAGUGGAAAUAGCGUGCAAGACCAUAUCCACUAUCUUGGCAUCAGCAUGCAUUCCGAGUCGCGGGGAUCAUGCAGGAUCGUCACGGAUGACAAUAUGCUCAGGUACAAAGUUGGCACUGUAGACGGUGCUAUUGUCUUCUUGAAGCAGCCUGGUUUAUCAGUUGAUCAGCUACUCAGUGCACAGUAAACAAGCUGAAGAUUACAUGGAUUUGUUUUUAUGGUUCUUUUCUGCCGAAGUACAAUAUUCUUGUUGGCAAUCAAAGCACUAUCUCAUGUAUAUAUACGCGCGUUAUCCUGGCUGGAUUAAAUUAUCAUAGCUGAGGGUGUAUUUCUGAAAUGUACAAACAUAUUUGUGCUGAUUAACUUGUUCAUAUUCUUGUAUAUAAUUUAAUUUAUUUAAGCAUGGCGGUUGCUUUCAUUAUGUGCAGCA